CCCUUAGAUGUUCUGGGCCGCACGCGCGCUACACUGAAGGGAUCAGCGUGUUUUCCCUUCCCGAGAGGGACGGGUAACCCGCUGAACCCCCUUCGUGGUAGGGAUCGGAGCUUGCAAUUGUUCUCCGUGAACCAGGAAUUCCCAGUAAGCGCAAGUCAAAAGCUUGCGUUGAUUACGUCCCUGCCCUUUGUACACACCGCCCGUCGCUACUACCGAUUGAACGUUUUAGUGAGGUAUUUGGACUGGGCCUUGGGAGGUUUCGGCCUCCCUUGUUGCUCGGAAAGACUCCCAAACUUGAGCGUUUAGAGGAAGUAAAAGUCGUAACA
rnacentral:rRNA from 1 species